GGUUUACCAGACCCGGAAGGCGCGGGCCUUAGUGGCGGACGGGUGAGUAACGCGUGGGGAACCUGCCCCGUACCGGGGGAUAACACCUGGAAACAGGUGCUAAUACCGCAUAACAGAAGGGGACGCAUGUUUCUUUCUUGAAAACUCCGGUGGUACGGGAUGGACCCGCGUCUGAUUAGCUGGUUGGCGGGGUAACGGCCCACCAAGGCGACGAUCAGUAGCCGGCCUGAGAGGGCGGACGGCCACAUUGGGACUGAGACACGGCCCAAACUCCUACGGGAGGCAGCAG
rnacentral:rRNA from 1 species